GGCCCAGCUGAGCGGUCGGCCGAAAGGUCUGUACUGCUCUGGCCGGGCCUUUCCUUCUGGAGAGCCAGCAUGUUCUUUACUGAGUGUGCUGGGGAUCCAGGACUUUUACUUUGAAAAAAUUAGAGUGUUUAUGGCAGGCCGGAGUGCUUGAAUACAUUAGCAUGGAAUAAUGGAAUAGGA
rnacentral:rRNA from 1 species